rnacentral:rRNA from 1 species
AGAGUUUGAUCCUGGCUCAGAACGAACGCUGGCGGCAUGCCUAACACAUGCAAGUCGAACGAAGCCUUCGGGCUUAGUGGCGCACGGGUGCGUAACGCGUGGGAAUCUGCCCUUGGGUUCGGAAUAACAGUUAGAAAUGACUGCUAAUACCGAAUGAUGUCUUCGGACCAAAGAUUUAUCGCCCAAGGAUGAGCCCGCGUCGGAUUAGCUAGUUGGUGAGGUAAAGGCUCACCAAGGCGACGAUCCGUAGCUGGUCUGAGAGGAUGAUCAGCCACACUGGGACUGAGACACGGCCCAGACUCCUACGGGAGGCAGCAGUGGGGAAUAUUGGACAAUGGGCGAAAGCCUGAUCCAGCAAUGCCGCGUGAGUGAUGAAGGCCUUAGGGUUGUAAAGCUCUUUUACCCGGGAUGAUAAUGACAGUACCGGGAGAAUAAGCCCCGGCUAACUCCGUG